UUGAGACUACCAUAGAACCUUGUAUACAUGAAUCUAUAUUUUUUGGUUCAUACUCAUUAAUAACUUAGUCAUGUAUGGGAUGUUCUAGAUAUGGUAGAAUGUAUAUGGAGGUUGUGAGUAGGUCAACAUGGAAUCGACCACUCCUGGUAAGAGGAGAUUGCAUCCUACUUGCUCUGAUCGAUUGAUGAUUCAGGAAGCCUUUGAUCAAAGCAGAAUGAAAAUUAGAAAGAGUUUCUAAUAUUUUAUUAAUUGAAUCAUCAUAUAAGAUUGAGAGAAAUAUGCGUAUGAUAUUGGAUUGGACAUUAUUCCAUAUUCAGAGUCAUAUUCGGGGUGCAGGA
rnacentral:lncRNA from 1 species